rnacentral:rRNA from 1 species
AGCGAACGCUGGCGGCAGGCCUAACACAUGCAAGUCGAACGAACCUUUCGGGGUUAGUGGCGGACGGGUGAGUAGCACGUGGGAACGUGCCUUUAGGUUCGGAAUAACUCAGGGAAACUUGUGCUAAUACCGAAUGUGCCCUUCGGGGGAAAGAUUAAUCGCCUUUAGAGCGGCCCGCGUCUGAUUAGCUAGUUGGUUGAGGUAAUGGCUCACCAAGGCGACGAUCAGUAGCUGGUCUGAGAGGAUGAUCAGCCACAUUGGGACUGAGACACGGCCCAAACUCCUACGGGAAGCAGCAGUGGGGAAUCUUGCGCAAUGGGCGAAAGCCUGACGCAGCCAUGCCGCGUGAAUGAUGAAGGUCUUAGGAUUGUAAAAUUCUUUCACCGGGGACGAUAAUGACGGUACCCGGAGAAGAAGCCCCGGCUAACUUCGUG